rnacentral:misc_RNA from 1 species
GAUGAAGAACGUAGCGAAAUGCGAUAAGUAAUGUGAAUUGCAGAAUUCAGUGAAUCAUCGAAUCUUUGAACGCACAUUGCGCCCCCUGGUAUUCCGGGGGGCAUGCCUGUUCGAGCGUCAUUUCACCACUCAAGCCUCGCUUGGUAUUGGGCAACGCGGUCCACCGCGUGCCUCAAAUCGACCGGCUGGGUCUUCUGUCCCCUAAGCGUUGUGGAAACUAUUCGCUAAAGGGUGUUCGGGAGGCUACGCCGUAAAACAACCCCAUUUCUAAGGUUGACCUCGGAUCAGGUAGGGAUACCCGCUGAACUUAAGCAUAUCAAUAAGCGGAGGA